GGUGCCUUCCGAGUUCCUUGGAACGGGACGCCUUAGAGGGUGAGAGCCCCGUACGGUUGGACACCUAGCCUCUGUAUAGCUCCUUCGACGAGUCGAGUAGUUUGGGAAUGCUGCUCUAAAUGGGAGGUAAAUUUCUUCUAAAGCUAAAUACCGGCCAGAGACCGAUAGCGCACAAGUAGAGUGAUCGAAAGAUGAAAAGCACUUUGAAAAGAGGGUUAAAUAGCACGUGAAAUUGUUGAAAGGGAAGCUCUUAUGACCAGACUUUUUCCAGGCGGAUCAUCCGGCGUUUUCGCCGGUGCACUUCGCCUGGUUUAGGCCAACGUCGAUUUUCGUAGGGGGAUAAAGGCUUGGGGAAUGUAGCUCCUCUCGGGGAGUGUUAUAGGCCCUUGCAUAAUACCUCUAUGGGGAUCGAGGUUCGCGCUCUGCAAGGACGUUGGCAUAAUGGUCAUCAGUGACCCGUCUUGAAACACGGACCAAGGAGUCGAACAUUUGUGCGAGUGUUUGGGUGUUAAACCCUCACGCGUAAUGAAAGUGAACGGAGGUGAGAGCCCUUUAGGGUGCAUCAUCGACCGAUCCUGAUGUCUUCGGAUGGAUUUGAGUAAGAGCAUAACUGUUCGGACCCGAAAGAUGGUGAACUAUGCGUGGAUAGGGUGAAGCCAGAGGAAACUCUGGUGGAGGCUCGCAGCGGUUCUGACGUGCAAAUCGAUCGUCAAAUCUGCGCAUGGGGGCGAAAGACUAAUCGAACCAUUAACAAAUUACACCGGUAACCGUAUUACUAGGUGGUUUAGAGGGCCUCUGAAAAGGGGAGCCUAGGCCGAGUUACCCGGGACCUACCCGGGAG
rnacentral:rRNA from 1 species